rnacentral:rRNA from 1 species
UACGUAGGCAGCGAGCGUUGUUCGGAGUUACUGGGCGUAAAGGGUGUGUAGGCGGUUGUUUAAGUUUGGUGUGAAAUCUCCCGGCUCAACUGGGAGGGUGCGCCGAAUACUGAAUGACUUCGAGUGCGGGAGAGGAAAGUGGAAUUCCUGGUGUAGCGGUGAAAUGCGUAGAUAUCAGGAGGAACACCGGUGGCGAAGGCGGCCAUCUGGACGACAACUGACGCUGAGGCGCGAAAGCUAGGGGAGCAAACGGG